GUUUAAACGUAGGCCGUACAGCACAUUGCCACUGGUCACUGAGCCGAAGGAUAAACCGAAAAUUCACUUUUCUCAUCACAAGAUUUAAUGUUCAGUCGAUCCGCUGCAUUGAAGGAUAAGUAUACUUGGCUAUUUUUUGGCAGGGGUAACGAAAUAUAUCGGCUGUCAGUCUAAAGACGUCUAAGUGUUUCCUCUGAAGACGAAGUGUUUCUUUAUGCGUUGGCCAUCGG